rnacentral:lncRNA from 1 species
UCUGCGUUAAGGGCAGCUGCCUGAUCCCCACAGGCUGCUGAAGCUGACAGCAAACAGGCCCUUGGGAAGGCAGAUUGCUUUAUUUACCUCUCUAUGCAAAUGCUUAACCCCCUCCGGACAUCCAGGUUUGAAAUGCUGCUCUAAGUGACGUGCCUCUGGCAUCUGUGCCAGUCCCCUCAGCCCUCUUGCCCUUCUCAGUUUUUUAUUCCUUGUGAGCGCUGCCUGGUAAAUAGACCUCACGCAGGACAGCAAGUGCUCCUGGCCCCGUGAGCCACUUGCCAAAACCUGUGUAGCCACAGGACCCACCACAGACACCUAAGCACCCGGGGAAGAGGACGUCCGGGAGUGAUUCACUGGCAGGAGCAGUCAGUGGUUUUUGAGGGCUCGCGCUGCACCACAGGGGGGCUGAAGCUGGGCUAGCUAUGCUGUUACAUGUCUAGGCAAAUUUUGCUCUACCUUAAUUGCCAAAUUUGCAAGGAAAUAGGUUUUUCUGAGCGUGCUGUUCCAGAUCUAACCCUCCAGGACCCCUCUGUUUCCCAAGGAAGCGGUAGGUUUUGUGGGAUGGAAAAGAGGACUUUGUAUACAACAUUGCAAAUGCUUGAUUGAAAUCCCUGGGAAUUAUACUAUGGGGAAUGAACAGCUCUGGCACCAAGAAACACAACGCAUGCGCAGUAUAUUUUGCAAGUAGUUUUUUUGCAGAUCUUUUAUAUACAGCACACUAACAACGAUUAUGAUGUGCCAAUCAUUUCUUUGCAGAGAUUUCACUGGCAACGCUAUUUCUUCCAUUGACAAACCAAUGUGGAGGGAAUACCUGUGGGCUGAGUACCUAGUUCUCCAAGACAAUGCCCUGAAGACAGUGGGGAGGCAUUCGCUGGUGGGGUUGCUGCUUCUGAAGCAACUGUAUUUCUUUCCCCUACCUUGAAGGCAGGGGAAGGCUCAGACCAGCCUGUUGCCAUGUGGCAUGCACUGGGAGGAGCAGGGUAUCAGCCCUCCCUUUGGGCCCCUGCUGCUCUACUCACCAUCAUACAAAUAUGCCUUAUUCUUCACACACAGACACAGAAUGGUUUAGGUUGGAAGGGACCUCUGGAGAUCAUCUAGUCCAACCUCCCUGUUCAAGCAGGGACCUCUAGAGCAUAUUGCCCAGGAUCACAUCCAGACAGGUUUUGAAUAUCUCCAGGGAAGGAGACUCCACUACCUCUCUGGGCAACCUGUUCCAAUGCUCUGUCACCCUCACAGUGAAGAAGUUUUUUCUCAGGUUCAGAUGGAACUUCCUGUGGUUCAGUUUUUUUGUCUAAGUUCUCAUUUAGGAAAGCCAAUUAAAGGGGAGGGGAGAAAAAAUCAUCCUCUUGACACUCCCCCU